rnacentral:rRNA from 1 species
AACGAACGCUGGCGGCAUGCCUAACACAUGCAAGUCGAACGAGACCUUCGGGUCUAGUGGCGCACGGGUGCGUAACGCGUGGGAACCUGCCCUUAGGUUCGGAAUAACUCCCCGAAAGGGGUGCUAAUACCGGAUAAUGUCUUCGGACCAAAGAUUUAUCGCCUUUGGAUGGGCCCGCGUUGGAUUAGCUAGUUGGUAGGGUAAAAGCCUACCAAGGCGACGAUCCAUAGCUGGUCUGAGAGGAUGAUCAGCCACACUGGGACUGGGACACGGCCCAGACUCCUGCGGGAAGCAGCAGUGGGGAAUAUUGGACAAUGGGCGAAAGCCUGAUCCAGCAAUGCCGCGUGAGUGAUGAAGGCCUUAGGGUUGUAAAGCUCUUUUACCCGGGAUGAUAAUGACAGUACCGGGAGAAUAAGCUCCGGCUAACUCCGUG